rnacentral:tRNA from 1 species
GUGAUCUUAGUUUAAUUUAAAAUAAUAGCUUGUCUCGCUAUGGAUGGUGUUUUACCAGGUUGCU